AACGGCGAGUGAAGCGGCAACAGCUCAAAUUUGAAAUCUGGGUCUUUCAGGCUCCGAGUUGUAAUUUGUAGAAGAUGCUUCGGGUGUGGCUCCGGUCUAAGUUCCUUGGAACAGGACGUCAUAGAGGGUGAGAAUCCCGUAUGUGACUGGUUGCCUUCGCCCAUGUGAAGCUCUUUCGACGAGUCGAGUUGUUUGGGAAUGCAGCUCAAAAUGGGUGGUAAAUUUCAUCUAAAGCUAAAUAUUGGCCAGAGACCGAUAGCGCACAAGUAGAGUGAUCGAAAGAUGAAAAGCACUUUGGAAAGAGAGUUAAACAGUACGUGAAAUUGUUGAAAGGGAAGCGCUUGCAACCAGACUUGCACGCUGCUGAUCAUCCGGGGUUCUCCCCGGUGCACUCGGUGGUGUUCAGGCCAGCAUCGGUUUGGGUGGUUGGAUAAAGGCCUUGGGAAUGUAGCUUCUUUCGGGGAGUGUUAUAGCCCUCGGUGCAAUGCAGCCUACCCGGACCGAGGACCGCGCUUCGGCUAGGA
rnacentral:rRNA from 1 species